rnacentral:rRNA from 1 species
CAGCCGCCGCGGUAAUACCGGCGGCCCGAGUGGCGGUCACUAUUAUUGGGCUUAAAGCGUCCGUAGCCGGGUUGGGAAGUCCUCCGGGAAAUCUGGCCGCUUAACGGCCAGAAUGCCGGAGGAUACUCCCAGCCUAGGGAGCGGGAGAGGCCGAGGGGAUUCCCGGGGUAGGGGGGAAAUCCUAUAAUCCCGGGAGGACCACCUGUGGCGAAGGCGCUCGGCUGGAACGCGUCCGACGGUGAGGGACGAAGGCCAGGGGAGCAAACCGGAUUAGAUACCCGGGUAGUCCUGGCUGUAAACGAUGCGGACUUUGUGUCGGACAAGCUAUGAGCUUGUCCGGUGCCGGAGGGAAACCGUUAAGUCCGCCGCCUGGGGAGUACGGCCGCAAGGCUGAAACUUAAAGGAAUUGGCGGG